CGCAUUGGACUUGGAAUCUUUCAGAAAUGGCGUCGACAACUCGAUUAAUAGAAACUGCUUUGAAAGUAUUAGAAUGGUUAUUUCCUUUUCGAGCCUCUUCUGCUAGAAUUUCAAGGAAAACAUGUUCAUCGAUUUUGUAACAAGGUUAAAACAUAAUCAAUAUCUAACAAAUUCAAGACAUAUAUCAAAAUCCAACAAACUAAAAUUUCAAUAUCAUUAUCCAACCAAC
rnacentral:lncRNA from 1 species